UGCGAAGGGUGCAAGCGUUACUCGGAAUUACUGGGCGUAAAGCGUGCGUAGGUGGUUCGUUAAGUCUGAUGUGAAAGCCCUGGGCUCAACCUGGGAAUGGCAUUGGAAACUGGCGACCUAGAGUGCGGUAGAGGGUAGUGGAAUUCCCGGUGUAGCAGUGAAAUGCGUAGAGAUCGGGAGGAACAUCCGUGGCGAAGGCGACUACCUGGACCAGCACUGACACUGAGGCACGAAAGCGUGGGGAGCAAACAGG
rnacentral:rRNA from 1 species